AUCCCGGCUGUGCCACAGCUGUCCUGCAUGACCCCCUCAAGCCGCUCCAUCCCCCUGUGCCUCUGAUCCCAGCUGCAAAUUGGCAGUGAAGCUAUUAAUAGCAGCAGCAAGGAGGAAAAUACUUCCUUUCUGCUUUUCUCUGGGCUCUGCAGGGGGAGGACCUGUCCUCAGCAUGCUGGAAGAUGGGUGAGCCUUUUCCAGGUCCUGUCCCCCUGUUGGUAGUUGAGUUGGGGAUUCAAAUGGGAGCUUGUGGGAUGGGGGCUUUUUCCUCUUGUGGGAGGAUUACUUGCUUUUGAGAGUCCUGCUCCAGGAGCCUUCCUGAUAAGGUACGUCCUGAGCUGUGGCUGGCUGACUCUACCCCUCUUCUAUGUGCAAAUGGCUCCGAGGAGAUGUUCAGGGCACAAGACGAAAGGAGGAGGUUUCACCCACGCAGUUGACUCAAUGCAGAUAAGCUGCCACAGCCAGACAUUAAACAAAUGUGUCUGGGAAUGUCAAGUUCUACUAACCAGGCACUCCUCAAGUCUCACGGGGCCGUGCUCAGUGGACAGAGCUGCCCCUUGUGCCUUGGAGGAUACUGGUGUCUGGUAUAGGGGGCUGGCUGGCCUGGCGGGUGCUGAGCAGCUGAUCUUAACGGGAUGAAUUCCCACUGGGGGAGGAGAUGGUCAGCAAUGCCCUCCUGCAGCAUCAGCCAAGGCCCUGAGUCAUUCCCAGACAGGGUAGUCAUUUCCAGCCCUGGGAUGUGGCAGCCCUGGACACGGAUGGAGAAAGCAGAAGGGAUGUGCAGUCACACAUGAAAUCUUCUAUAGGGAGAGAGCGUGGGAGCAAUCCUUACCCUGCCCAUCUUCCGAAACCUCUCAGGUAUCCAUAGGGAUGGAGAGAUUUUUGCAGAAAACAUACCUAAAUAUUAUUUUUCUUGCUGGGCUGAACAGGAGGGACAUAAACAUUACAAAUACUUCAAGUCCUCAAACAUCCCUUUUGGAAGAAAAGAGAUGGCAGCACGCCCCUGGCAGAACCAAAGCAGGGCUAUCGUUUGCUGAAUUCUUCAGGAAAGCUCUUCUACCUCCCGUGUGCUGCCACUCUCCUCUGUGACCAAACCCUCCAGACCAUCUUUGUCAACCAUGGAAAUGACUUAUUCAUGGUCAGCCCGCAGGUUCAUGCAAAAGCUCGCAAGGGAAGAUAGCUAGUGCCCUGUUUGUGGAAAAAACAGUUUUACAGGUUAUGGCUUUGGCCAAUCUUGACACUAUACACAGUGCAAAUACUAUUUUCACCACCCUGGUGGUUCUUUCUCUUUGAAGAUAAAUUGAGCCUGGAGCACAGAAACUUGAGGGAGACCACAUAGAGAGACCAAGGCAAACCCAGACUCAGACGCCAGCUGCCUUUCGUACCACCAUCACACCAAAACUGUCUGCCUCGUGGUGAUGCUGAUCUCACUCAGGGUGGAGGGAUACUUCCAUAGCAUGAACUGCAGGGAAAGAGGGAUGUCCUUUAUCUGCAGCUGCUGACAUCACUUUGCUGCAGAAGGUUACCUCCAGUUAGGGACUUGUCGAAGCUGGAUGUCCAUUGCAGUCACCCCAGACCACAACCUUCAGGAGAGAGACCCUCGUAUGGUGGGAGGGGGCUGCCUACUCGGGAGAAAUUGCUUCCUCAUGACUGUGCAGAAUAAAUGAACCAAGACCACAAAACUAAAUCUUCAGUGACUCCCAGCCCAGAGAACAAUCUGGUGUUGAUGUUGAAUUGUGAACCAGAUGCAGGGAGAGAGGCUGGACCAGUGGUUGUGAUGUAGCUAGGGGACGGGAAUUUAGAUCUCUGCUGUGCUGCAGCAUCCUGUGACCCUGGACGCAUUCUCAAAUCUGUGCCUUACAUCCCCCUCUCACACCAGAACAACGGGCUGCCCUGCCUCCUUUCUGCGUUGGAAGGACACAUAUGUUGGUGAGAUCUGCUCAUGUGUGUGCCCUUUCAAAGAGUUUCCUGCAGCACGGCAGUGACCUGGGAUCAGGGAAGCACAGAGGUCCUGCGGAGUGGCCUCGGAAGGGACAGCUUCUUCGCUGUGUUGCUAUAAAUAAUAAUUUAUUAUUUAGCAGCUCCAAGCUGCACCCAGGAGAUGGAGGAGCUGGGAUUGCUCCAAGACACAGAUCAGCCUCCUGCUCUUGAAGCAAGUCAGGCAGAGCCGGCGGGUCAUUCGUGACUGAGGGGCAUGGUAAUGCCAAGGUGGAGUCAGGCGAGGAGACAGAUGAGUGCAAAAACACAUCUGGGCUCGUGCUGGGAGGUUGCAGAUCAGCUCUCGCUUUCUGCUUAUCAUCUUCCCUGUCCCAGCCCUGGGGUUGUGGCACAUCAGGGUCUUCCCAGCUGGAGAUGGCCAGGUUGUAUGGGGUUGGAUAGACGUAUGUGGGCAGCAGCCGCGUGGCCCAGCAUCACCGUCCGCUGGGUGCUCUGCCAUGGGUCUCCAGAUCCUCUCUGCAGCCAAUUAAGUUCCUCUUCAAGCUGUCAGCAAGGACCCUUGUCUUCUCCUUUAUUGCUUCUUUUAUCUUUGGGCUUGAGGGAGGUUAGAAGAGUGCAAGGAACAUGCAAGAUACAGAAGUACUGUAGGGAUGGCUGGGUGCCAGCCAAGCUUGUAAUUUUGUUAAUACACUAAUAGAGGAGCAAAUGGAAACACUUCAAGUAAUAUUAACACUGCACAGUCCCAUUGUAGUCAGAAGUGUUUCAGCUACAUCAUUAUUGUGUUUACUGCUGCAGCAUCUUAUUUGUCCUGGGUUAUAUCAGAACUGGGCUGGUGUUGGUAGUAUUUUCAAUUCUUUGGCAUAGCUUUAUUAUUUUAAUGAAAAGGCUUGUGAGGAUUUAUCUCAGGCAUCCAAGUUAUGGUACUCAAAUUUUAAAUAACUUACCAAGGGGUAAGUUAGAGGUCUAGGAGUCCAGGAUUGUACAGAAAUGCUGGGUCUGCAGAUCCCAAGGACACUUUCUCUAUGUGAAGACUGGGCGUGCGGGGUGUCUCAUGCACUAAGAUAGCAGAAGAUUUGUAUGACAGACCAGAAAUGCAAAUACUGUGCAGAGCUGAGAAAUGGCUUUAGCAGAGGAGCUCUCAGAUGAUGUAAACCCUGCUAACACAAAUAACCAGACUCCACCGGAGAAAGCCAUCAGCACUGCUUUGCUUCCUGCAAGUCUUCCAUUGCUCGUGCUAGCUGGGAUUUCCUUUGCCAUUUGCUCCCCUGUUUCUCGGGGCGGUGCAGGGGCAGCCUACGCCAGGACUGGGCGAGGAAGGAGUUGCACAUUCAAAGUGGGAGGAAAACCUGGUGUGACCGAAGGCACAAGUGCUCAGGGGCUGCAAAACCUCUUGCAAAAAGCAUUUCUUUUUCCCAGCCCUGCACAGGGCUUGGAAAGGAGGUACUGGGGACGAAGGCAGCACGGCCUGGGGAGAAGAUGACCCGUGGUGCUGGCAGGCUGCUGCUGCGGAUGGGGCUGUUAGCGCCCUGGUUACACGGCUGGGUAACGAAUGGGUGCAGAUGGACGACAUUUGCAGACCUGGUUACCCAGCUUUUUUAAGGACGUGAAUCAAACUUGCAAGCUGAGAAAUGCAAUGCCUUCUGCUCUCAUAACCCAUGUUGCUCUUUGAUUGCAGCAGACUGGCUUGCACAACCACAAGCUUUUCUUCCCCGAUUCCAGGCAUCAUCCGUAUAGCCAAAGGACAUAUGUUUUCUUGCCACUUGGGACUGGGCCAUGACUAAUUUUAGUCACCUAGUCUAGAAGGACGGGUUGUUAGUGAAUGAUAUUUUGUU